rnacentral:rRNA from 1 species
UACGUAGGGGGCGAGCGUUGUCCGGAUUUAUUGGGCGUAAAGAGCUCGUAGGCGGCUUGGCAAGUCGGGUGUGAAACCUCCAGGCUCAACCUGGAGACGCCACUCGAUACUGCCAUGGCUAGAGUCCGGUAGGGGACCACGGAAUUCCUGGUGUAGCGGUGAAAUGCGCAGAUAUCAGGAGGAACACCGGUGGCGAAGGCGGUGGUCUGGGCCGGCACUGACGCUGAGACGCGAAAGCGUGGGGAGCGAACAGG